GCAGAACUUGACAGGUUAUGUAAAGGUGAAGCUUUUUCCAAGGAUAUGGAGGCAUUUUCCUGUUGAGGCCCCUACCAGCCCAAGGUUGUUUGGAUGCCUCAAAGCGCAUGGGAACCCAGUGGCGAUUGGACCAAUUGUGGAGGGGGUCGAUGCCUCCACCUAUACAUUGGAGAGGGGAAUGGCAUCUUGGGCGGUGGAGGUGUUGGGACGGACGGAUGCCUCCACCGCAGUCGCGGCCCGGGCAGUGGCUGGACUCUGAGAGAUGCGGUGGGAGGAUGGCGAUGUAAUUGUUGCUUAUGAUUGUGGGGGCCUUUGCCCAUCUGUGGAGAUUGAGCCGGCCUGCAUAGUGCUCUAUCGAUUUCUCCUCAGUGGCGCCG
rnacentral:lncRNA from 1 species